rnacentral:rRNA from 1 species
GACGAACGCUGGCGGCGUGCCUAAUACAUGCAAGUCGAGCGGAAGUUGAAGAGCUUGCUCUUCAACUUUAGCGGCGGACGGGUGAGUAACACGUGGGCAACCUGCCCUGCAGAUCGGGAUAACUCCGGGAAACCGGUGCUAAUACCGAAUAGUUUUCGCCACCUCCUGGUGGCGUACGGAAAGACGGUUUCGGCUGUCACUGCAGGAUGGGCCCGCGGCGCAUUAGCUAGUUGGUGGGGUAACGGCCCACCAAGGCAACGAUGCGUAGCCGACCUGAGAGGGUGAUCGGCCACACUGGGACUGAGACACGGCCCAGACUCCUACGGGAGGCAGCAGUAGGGAAUCUUCCGCAAUGGACGAAAGUCUGACGGAGCAACGCCGCGUGAGUGACGAAGGUUUUCGGAUCGUAAAACUCUGUUGUGAGGGAAGAACAAGUACCAACUAACUACUGGUACCUUGACGGUACCUCACCAGAAAGCCACGGCUAACUACGUGCCAGCCGCCGCUGUAA